UACGGGGGGGAGCAAGCGUUGUUCGGAUUUACUGGGCGUAAAGGGCGCGUAGGCGGCGCAACAAGUCACUUGUGAAAUCUCCGGGCUUAACCCGGAGCGGUCAAGUGAUACUGCAGGGCUAGAGUGCAGAAGGGGCAACUGGAAUUCUCGGUGUAGCGGUGAAAUGCGUAGAUAUCGAGAGGAACACCUGCGGCGAAGGCGGGUUGCUGGGCUGACACUGACGCUGAAGCGCGAAAGCUAGGGGAGCGAACGGG
rnacentral:rRNA from 1 species